rnacentral:tRNA from 2 species
AAGAGAGAAGUAUCGUGGUUAUACGGUUGGCUUGAAACCAGAAUAUGGUGGUUCGAUUCCACCCUCUUUUG